UCAAGUGGCCUUGAACUGAUACUGCCAUGCCUCACUUUACACCUAUGCAGUCUACCAAAUUAUUACUAAGGUUUUAGUACAGGCCAUAAGUAAGGUCCAGCAAAAACAAACUCAUAAAGGUAAAAAAGUGAUGACAACAUUUUAUAUGUGUUUUCCACAU